GGGUUGUGAGGUUAAGCGACUAAGCGUACACGGUGGAUGCCCUGGCAGUCAGAGGCGAUGAAGGACGUGCUAAUCUGCGAUAAGCGUCGGUAAGGUGAUAUGAACCGUUAUAACCGGCGAUUUCCGAAUGGGGAAACCCAGUGUGUUUCGACACACUAUCAUUAACUGAAUCCAUAGGUUAAUGAGGCGAACCGGGGGAACUGAAACAUCUAAGUACCCCGAGGAAAAGAAAUCAACCGAGAUUCCCCCAGUAGCGGCGAGCGAACGGGGAGCAGCCCAGAGCCUGAAUCAGUGUGUGUGUUAGUGGAAGCGUCUGGAAAGGCGCGCGAUACAGGGUGACAGCCCCGUACACAAAAAUGCACAUGCUGUGAGCUCGAUGAGUAGGGCGGGACACGUGGUAUCCUGUCUGAAUAUGGGGGGACCAUCCUCCAAGGCUAAAUACUCCUGACUGACCGAUAGUGAACCAGUACCGUGAGGGAAAGGCGAAAAGAACCCCGGCGAGGGGAGUGAAAAAGAACCUGAAACCGUGUACGUACAAGCAGUGGGAGCACGCUUAGGCGUGUGACUGCGUACCUUUUGUAUAAUGGGUCAGCGACUUAUAUUCUGUAGCAAGGUUAACCGAAUAGGGGAGCCGAAGGGAAACCGAGUCUUAACUGGGCGUUAAGUUGCAGGGUAUAGACCCGAAACCCGGUGAUCUAGCCAUGGGCAGGUUGAAGGUUGGGUAACACUAACUGGAGGACCGAACCGACUAAUGUUGAAAAAUUAGCGGAUGACUUGUGGCUGGGGGUGAAAGGCCAAUCAAACCGGGAGAUAGCUGGUUCUCCCCGAAAGCUAUUUAGGUAGCGCCUCGUGAAUUCAUCUCCGGGGGUAGAGCACUGUUUCGGCAAGGGGGUCAUCCCGACUUACCAACCCGAUGCAAACUGCGAAUACCGGAGAAUGUUAUCACGGGAGACACACGGCGGGUGCUAACGUCCGUCGUGAAGAGGGAAACAACCCAGACCGCCAGCUAAGGUCCCAAAGUCAUGGUUAAGUGGGAAACGAUGUGGGAAGGCCCAGACAGCCAGGAUGUUGGCUUAGAAGCAGCCAUCAUUUAAAGAAAGCGUAAUAGCUCACUGGUCGAGUCGGCCUGCGCGGAAGAUGUAACGGGGCUAAACCAUGCACCGAAGCUGCGGCAGCGACGCUUAUGCGUUGUUGGGUAGGGGAGCGUUCUGUAAGCCUGCGAAGGUGUGCUGUGAGGCAUGCUGGAGGUAUCAGAAGUGCGAAUGCUGACAUAAGUAACGAUAAAGCGGGUGAAAAGCCCGCUCGCCGGAAGACCAAGGGUUCCUGUCCAACGUUAAUCGGGGCAGGGUGAGUCGACCCCUAAGGCGAGGCCGAAAGGCGUAGUCGAUGGGAAACAGGUUAAUAUUCCUGUACUUGGUGUUACUGCGAAGGGGGGACGGAGAAGGCUAUGUUGGCCGGGCGACGGUUGUCCCGGUUUAAGCGUGUAGGCUGGUUUUCCAGGCAAAUCCGGAAAAUCAAGGCUGAGGCGUGAUGACGAGGCACUACGGUGCUGAAGCAACAAAUGCCCUGCUUCCAGGAAAAGCCUCUAAGCAUCAGGUAACAUCAAAUCGUACCCCAAACCGACACAGGUGGUCAGGUAGAGAAUACCAAGGCGCUUGAGAGAACUCGGGUGAAGGAACUAGGCAAAAUGGUGCCGUAACUUCGGGAGAAGGCACGCUGAUAUGUAGGUGAAGUCCCUCGCGGAUGGAGCUGAAAUCAGUCGAAGAUACCAGCUGGCUGCAACUGUUUAUUAAAAACACAGCACUGUGCAAACACGAAAGUGGACGUAUACGGUGUGACGCCUGCCCGGUGCCGGAAGGUUAAUUGAUGGGGUCAGCGCAAGCGAAGCUCUUGAUCGAAGCCCCGGUAAACGGCGGCCGUAACUAUAACGGUCCUAAGGUAGCGAAAUUCCUUGUCGGGUAAGUUCCGACCUGCACGAAUGGCGUAAUGAUGGCCAGGCUGUCUCCACCCGAGACUCAGUGAAAUUGAACUCGCUGUGAAGAUGCAGUGUACCCGCGGCAAGACGGAAAGACCCCGUGAACCUUUACUAUAGCUUGACACUGAACAUUGAGCCUUGAUGUGUAGGAUAGGUGGGAGGCUUGGAAGUGUGGACGCCAGUCUGCAUGGAGCCGACCUUGAAAUACCACCCUUUAAUGUUUGAUGUUCUAACGUUGACCCGUAAUCCGGGUUGCGGACAGUGUCUGGUGGGUAGUUUGACUGGGGCGGUCUCCUCCUAAAGAGUAACGGAGGAGCACGAAGGUUGGCUAAUCCUGGUCGGACAUCAGGAGGUUAGUGCAAUGGCAUAAGCCAGCUUGACUGCGAGCGUGACGGCGCGAGCAGGUGCGAAAGCAGGUCAUAGUGAUCCGGUGGUUCUGAAUGGAAGGGCCAUCGCUCAACGGAUAAAAGGUACUCCGGGGAUAACAGGCUGAUACCGCCCAAGAGUUCAUAUCGACGGCGGUGUUUGGCACCUCGAUGUCGGCUCAUCACAUCCUGGGGCUGAAGUAGGUCCCAAGGGUAUGGCUGUUCGCCAUUUAAAGUGGUACGCGAGCUGGGUUUAGAACGUCGUGAGACAGUUCGGUCCCUAUCUGCCGUGGGCGCUGGAGAACUGAGGGGGGCUGCUCCUAGUACGAGAGGACCGGAGUGGACGCAUCACUGGUGUUCGGGUUGUCAUGCCAAUGGCACUGCCCGGUAGCUAAAUGCGGAAGAGAUAAGUGCUGAAAGCAUCUAAGCACGAAACUUGCCCCGAGAUGAGUUCUCCCUGACCCUUUAAGGGUCCUGAAGGAACGUUGAAGACGACGACGUUGAUAGGCCGGGUGUGUAAGCGCAGCGAUGCGUUGAGCUAACCGGUACUAAUGAACCGUGAGGCUUAACCUUACAACGCCGAAG
rnacentral:rRNA from 1 species